GAGGGUGUAGCUCAGUGGUAGAGCACAUGUUUAGCAUGCGUGAGGUCCUGGGUUCAAUCCCCAGUACCUCCA
rnacentral:tRNA from 1 species